UCACCUUGGUUUCCCUUCAGUACACGCAUAAAUCUUUCGCCUUUUACUAAAGAUUUCCGUGGAGGGGAACACUUGAUAGGUCUAACGACCAAUUUUUUGAGAAGCUUGACGUAAGUCAAGCUC